UACGAAGGUGGCAAGCGUUGUUCGGAUUCACUGGGCGUACAGGGAGCGUAGGCGGUUGGGUAAGCCCUCCGUGAAAUCUCCGGGCCUAACCCGGAAAGUGCAGAGGGGACUGCUCGGCUUGAGGACGGGAGAGGAGCGCGGAAUUCCCGGUGUAGCGGUGAAAUGCGUAGAGAUCGGGAGGAAGGCCGGUGGCGAAGGCGGCGCUCUGGAACGUUUCUGACGCUGAGGCUCGAAAGCGUGGGGAGCAAACAGG
rnacentral:ncRNA from 3 species